ACACAAAUUUAUAAUUUUACUGGUUUCACACCAUGUCAGCUUGAGGUAGAAACUGGGAGUGACACAAGUUUUAGACCUCUUCCGCUUUUGAGAAUCAAAAGUCAUGAUUAGCUGCUGACACAAACUAGACACAAGUCAAGUCAUAAUCAGAGCAUAUUGGUAUCUGAACCCAUGAUAACAGGAUCCUACCACUACUAAGGGGAGCUACUCUGUACAGUGUUUUGUGGCGUCACAGAUGGUUCGGCCCCCUAUGUAUACCAUACAGUCAGAAAUUCAAAUAUGCAAGACACAUGUUAGGUGAACAUAAUCAAUAUUGAUUUUCCGGAGCAUAUUUGGCCAUAUCAAGAAAUGAAUUGCACCAUAAUGCAUUAUUUGUGAGGGAGUGAGUGAGUGAGUUU